UGGGGAAUAUUGCACAAUGGGCGAAAGCCUGAUGCAGCGACGCCGCGUGAGGGAUGACGGCCUUCGGGUUGUAAACCUCUUUCAGCAGGGACGAAGCUUUGGUGACGGUACCUGUAGAAGAAGCACCGGCUGACUACGUGCCAGCAGCCGCGGUAAUACGUAGGGUGCGAGCGUUGUCCGGAAUUAUUGGGCGUAAAGAGCUUGUAGGCGGUUUGUCGCGUCUGCCGUGAAAGCCCAGGGCUUAACCCUGGGUCUGCGGUGGGUACGGGCAGGCUAGAGUGUGGUAGGGGAGACUGGAAUUCCUGGUGUAGCGGUGAAAUGCGCAGAUAUCAGGAGGAACACCGAUGGCGAAGGCAGGUCUCUGGGCCACUACUGACGCUGAGAAGCGAAAGCAUGGGGAGCGAAC
rnacentral:rRNA from 1 species